UUUUGCCGUCCCAAACCAUGGCUGCCUUAAGUUUGCUGAUCAGGAUGAAGUAGAUGAUUUUGUUGAUCAUUAUAGCAAGUCUAAUAACAAAGUAGGAGAGAGUUGUCAGUAUUCAGAAUUUUGUAUUCGCUGUUCCUAAUCCAAAGCAUUUUAAAAGAUGCUGACCAAAGUCCUGGUGUUGAUUUAAAAAUAAUGUAUGAUAUUGGAUGUGUAUUAUCCUCACAUUUAAAGGCAAACAAGAGGCAUGACAUUUUGUCAAAAGUGUCAAUUUCGUUGCCGAUAUUUCAUUGUUAUGGACACAAGGCUUCAUGCCAGGUCAAAUUCAGUCCUAGAAGGCUCGAUGGUUUUGGUCUUACAGAUGGUGAGGCUAUUGAAAGGCUUACCUUCGUGGGUUCUCAGCAAUUAAUAAGGAGAUGUCUGCCAGUAGAAGAGUAGAUCUUUUGACAGACGCGCUUCUUCAGUUACCUUGAAGAAAUUUUAGCAAUGCAGGAAAAUCGUUAACGUCGAAGCUUAAAAAAUGUCUACAACUUAAAAUUAAAACGCAACAAGAAAUGAAGGAUUUAUUUAGCGAACUACCUGUGACGUACGAUCCUGAAAUUGUUUGUCAGUGGGAGGCCAGCGAGAAGAAAUUAUGUCAAGAGUCUACCCAGAAUCCUUUCGAUACGAGAAAUCCUCGGG